rnacentral:rRNA from 1 species
GACGAACGCUGGCGGCGUGCCUAAUACAUGCAAGUCGAGCGCUGAGGGUCGGUACUUGUGCCAACUGAGUGAGCAGCGAACGGGUGAGUAACGCGUGGGGAAUCUGCCUUUCAUCGGGGGAAAACAUGGGAACACGAGUGAUAAUACCGCAUAAAAACUUUAAACACAGGGUUUAAGGUAGAAAGAUGCAAUUGCGUCACGCAAGGAUGAUCUCGCGUUGUGUUAGCUAGUUGGUGAGGUAAAGGCGCACCAAGGUGAUGUUGCAUAGCCGCCGUGAGAGGGUGAUUGGCCGGAUUGGGACUGAGACACGGCCCAAAGUGCCACGGGAAGCAGCAGGAGGGCAUCUUCGGCCAUCGGUGGAAGAUUGACCGAGAAACGCCGCGGGAGUGAAGAAGGUUGUCGCGUCGUAAAACACGGUUUGUAGGGAAGAACGCUCGUGCGAGUGUAAAGCUCAUUAAGUGACGGUAACUACCCAGAAAGCGACGGCUAACUACGUG